GGACAUAAAUUGGACGUGAAACGUACAUCCACUGGAUGUCUGGUGUUGUCUGGGAAUGUGGAACAGCGGAAUGCUUGGAUAGCUUGGAUUAUUUGUAAACGACCUGGAUGGAUUCUGAAGACUAAUAGCAGAAUUUGUGAGUUGCAUUUUGUUCCUGAGGAUUAUGUAUACACAAGAGGAAAUAAAAGUCGAAAGCUGAAAAUAUCUGCUUCCUUCAUUAGCACUGCAUCCUUUCAGUAGGCACAGGACUGCUCAGCAAUAGAAAAUACUCAUAAAGAGGAAGAUUUACAACAAAGUG